UAACACAUGGCAAGUCGAGCGAUGAAGUCUUCGGAACGGAGUUAGCGGCGGACGGGUGAGGUAACACGUGGGUAACCUGGCCUUGUAGAGGGGGAUAGACCUUCCGAAAGGAAGAUUAAUACCGCAUAACAUCUUUUUAUCGCAUGGUAGAAAGAUCAAAGGAGUAAUCCGCGUACAAGAUGGACCCGCGGCGCAUUAGCUAGUUGGUGAGGUAACGGCCCACCAAGGCGACGAUGCGUAGCCGACCUGAGAGGGUGAUCGGCCACAUUGGAACUGAGACACGGUCCAGACUCCUACGGGAGGCAGCAGUGGGGAAUAUUGCGCAAUGGGGGAAACCCUGACGCAGCAACGCCGCGUGAAUGAAGAAGGCCGUUAGGGUUGUAAAGUUCUGUUUACGGGGACGAUAAUGACGGUACCCGUGGAGGAAGCCACGGCUAACUACGUGCCAGCAGCUGC
rnacentral:rRNA from 1 species